GGCUGAACAAUGCAGGGCCUGCCUGGCCCUGAGAGGAGUCGGAAGCUAAGGCAGUCAAGGCUAUGAAACCGGUACCAUCCAGUCACCUCCCACUUCCUUGCCCAAAGGAGACUGUGGUGAAGGUACCAGAAGAGCCCAGAGAAGGGAUGGCAGGGAAGAAGGAGGAUCAUGUAGAGACCAAAGGACAGGACAUUGGGCACAGGGGCCCCCACAGCAGUGGGGAUGUACCGUCGACAUCAAACCCCAUAGACCAACAGAGCCCUCACUUCCAUCGAGAGCAGUCCUGGGCCUCCGGACCUCCAUCCCAAGCACCCAGAAGUCAGCUUGAGUGAGAACACCCACAUGUCUCUGAUGAGCUCCUCCUGGGAAAGCCACAUCGUCACCACCUCAUACAGCCCUGCUGGAGAUGCCCUGCCUCCAUGGAAGCCUGAUCCAGAUGCAGUGGUGCACUCUGAACCCACCCCAUGCUGCUCCCUGUUGCCAGAGAGGUCAUCACAGGAAGUGCUGGGUGCAGACCGUGGGCCCAGCUCUCCAGGCUCACUGAUGUCCGGGAAGGAGAUGCAGGAUGAAAGCCUGCAGACAUCCCAUCAUGGAGCUCUUGUCCACCGGGAUGUCCCAGCAGUAGGCCCUGCAAAUGGAGACUCACCAUGCCACUGUGCUGCCCCUGCCACUACCACUGUCACAGCCACUGCUGUGGGGCCAAGGAAUUGUUGCUCAGCCUGCAUUUGAGGACUGUGAUGGGCAACAGACUAACAACCCUUUCCUGUUGGGAAAACUGGUAGCCCCGGCACAAGCUGUAGGUCUAACGUAUCCUGCAGCCCGGCCACUGAGAGGCAGCACAAGGACAUCAGGUUUUGCAGGUUUGACACUGCCAGGCUCUGCAUUUGACACCACUGUCAACAUCUUAAAUCUGAGAAGCUGGGGCCACCUGUCCAGAAUCCAAGUGGUAUGAUGGAAGGGGACAACAUACUCCCAUGGCUGGAGGACCUGGUAUUCCCACUUUCCAUCAGUAUAACUGAGGCCCACCUGACCAAACCACAGGUAGUACAGUCACGGGGAACAAUAUCUCACUUGUGAUGGGUGGCCCCUGUGUCACCACCUGCUUUCAGAACACUUGGAGCCCAUCUAUUCAGAGCACAGGUGAUAUGAUGGGAGACAGCAUCACACCUGCUGUGACUGAAUACACUAUGGCCCCCCGUUCAUACAGAGCCAUUGGGGCCUCCAUGGGCGAAGCGCAGGUGGGGUGUUGGGGGACAGUACCAUACGUUUUUAAAGAGAAACCUCUACCCUCAGUCAAAACACCUGCUUCCUCCCCCAACGCCCCAUCAGGAUCCCCUGUGACUUUGGAGGAGCCAGCACUGCAUUUGGAGGCUCCUGGUCAGAGCAACUCAGGGCACAGCAAGUGGUAGCGUUGCCUCUGGGGCACUGUCAUCACCUGCCAGGGCCUCAUAGGAGCCAUCACCAAUUCCUUUCUUCUGUCACAAAUCUCAACAAUCAAGGAGCAGAUCUUCCUCUGCAAACUGUGUGCGAACAGGAAGGGACUUUGCUCCACUGGAAAGAGGCUCAGCCCCUUUAAGCAAAACUGAACCUGCUCUCUUCCCUCAGCAUCCAAGGACCACACCUCAUAGGGAGAUCGAAAUAGAUGUUCAAAACGCCAGCUAAGUGUUCAGUCUCUUUUAUCAUAAUUCCUCUUAACAACUGUGUUCCGGUUCUAAAAUUAUUUGAUUCUUGCCAAGAUCUUAUUUGGAGAAACUGUAAAGUUCAAUCCCAUUUCAUCAAGCCAUGUUGUCCUUUUCCAACAUGAUUUUUUUUCUUUUACACCAACCUGGGUUGUUCAGGAUGAGCUGAGUUGUCUGUAUUAACAAGCUAACCCUUAAACCUCAGUGGUUUAACACAACGAAUGUUUAUUUCUCACUCAGGCUAUGUCCCUA
ensembl:lncRNA